UGGGGAAUAUUGGACAAUGGGCGAAAGCCUGAUCCAGCCAUGCCGCGUGUGUGAAGAAGGUCUUCGGAUUGUAAAGCACUUUAAGUUGGGAGGAAGGGCAGUAAGUUAAUACCGUUGCUGUUUUGACGUUACCAACAGAAUAAGCACCGGCUAACUUCGUGCC
rnacentral:rRNA from 1 species